rnacentral:lncRNA from 1 species
UACCUGUUGCCCAAGGUGACAAGCCAAGAGGGGGGGGGUGAAUUGGUUUCUUCUAAAUUUUGGUGCUUUAAACGUUUUCUUAAUUAAGUGCGGUGGAUGCUUCCUUAAACUAUUUGAAUGAUUUAAACUAGUGCAAAGAUAGUAGAUGAUGCAAGAAUAAACGUAAGCACAAGCACAACACAAACACAACAAUAUAUAGUGGUUCGGUGCUCUCCUUAGCACCUACGUCCACUCCCCAAGCGUCCCCUUGGGAAUU